UCCAUUAUUUUCCAGAGGAUGAAGCUGAGACCUAAAGAGGCAGCUGCAGUGUUGAGAAAAGUCAGCACCCUCUAGUCUAAGAGCUGAGAAAAAACAACACCCUAUAGGCUACAGCAGUUGUGCCAAGAGAAGUCAAAAGUAUCUUAUACAACUCUCAUUGCUGUGCUAAAAACCUUACGCUUCCAAGUUGGCCAAUGAAGCAAAUCUACCUAGCACAACAAAUGAGUCAAAGAUAAUUCUGAAACUACUUACAAGAUUCCUAUUGAAAAAAGGGAAGAUGGAACACAGAUAGUCAAGAAUGAUAUUGUUGACAUUUCUCCUUUGCCACAAGAAGAAUUAUCAAGAUAGUCAAGAAAGAAAAACUUAGGAGAUAUAUAAGAGCAAUAUUCAAAGAUCUAAAGGAUGAUUGGAUGACUUUGAGUCAUAGAACACUUUGAUCAUUAUGGAGAAUCUUCCAGUAUAGAGGACCCAAAAGGAAAACCCAGGGAGGCUGCAGCAUGCCUUCUGCAAUGACUUGCAUUCAACAAAUGUCUGGCCAGAGGAGGAGGUCGGUCAAUCACACAAUGAGAAUGGACCAACACAGGUGGAUAGUAUGAUCACUAUUGCCACGAGAUAAAAGAAAAUCUUAGAGGGAGGCACUCAGUGCUUUGGGAAGACCUUUUCUGGAAACUAUAGGGGAAAAUACUGACAAGAACUUCACAGCAUACAGCAUCGAAAGACUUUGAUCUUUGUCUAUGUUGAAAGGGUCCAUUCUCAGGAAACCUUUGAUUGCUCUCAGUGCCUUCAGGGUGAAAUACAAAUACUUAGCUUAUUUUUAGUUCUCACAAUGUGAUUCCAACUCACUUCUCUCAUAUCUUUUCAUUUGGGUUUUGCUUGGUCUUCAUAAUUUUAUUAAACUUUCUUUUGAUUUUUUGGUGUGUAGUUCUUUCCAAAUAGAUUGUUUCAAUGACUGUGCAUAUUAUUUUCUUGGUUCUUCUUACUUCAUUCUCCAUGAAUUCUAUAUUUUAUCACUCACAUCAUCUCUUAUAACCUAGUGAUAAGCCAUUAU